rnacentral:lncRNA from 1 species
GAUGCUGGCUGAGGGCAGGCAGAGGCUAGGCUUGUUUGUUGAGAGGUCAAUAUGAACUAAAUUACACCAGAGAGGGCUUUAGAGUAGCAAAUUCAUUAUGUACGACAAUAUUCUUAAAAACAAGAAAAUUAUUCUAAUGCGGAAAAUUGCUAAGGUUAAGAUUAACCAAUAGCGCACUAAAUGUUUUACUUGUUUUCAUGGAUGAGAUUAAAUUGGAUAGGAUAUUCCAGAUCAAUCACAAAAAGAAAGGAAUAUUCU